rnacentral:rRNA from 1 species
ACGACGGGUACCGGGACUGAGAGGUUGACCCGGCGCAUCGGGACUGAGACACUGCCCGGACUCCUACGGGGAAGGCUGCAGUAACCGAAUGUUCCGCAAUGGGCGAAAAGCCUGACGGAGCGACGCCGCGUGUGGGAGGAAGCCCUUCGGGGUGUAAACCACUGUCAGGUAUUACACAAGCAAGUUGGCGAAUAAGCCUUUCUGCGUUGAGGCGUCCCAGAGGAAGCCACGGCCUAACUUCGUGCCAGCAGCCGCGGUAAUACGAAGGUGGCGAGCGUUGUUCGGAAUCACUGCGCUUAAAGGGCACGCAGGCGGACUGUCAAGCGUCUUGUGAAUACCCACGGGCUUAACCGGGGAAUUGCUGGGCGAACUUGGCAGUCUUGAAGCAGGUAAGGGCGAGUGGAACCUCUUGGUGGAGCGGUGGAAAUGCGUAGAUAUACAGAGGAACCGCCGGAGGCGAUAGCGACUCGCUCCGCCUGACCUGACGCUGAGGUGCGAUAGCCAGGGUAGCGAACGCGAUUAGAUACCCCGGUAGUCCUGGCCAUUAACGAUGUCCACUUAGAUCGGUGAACUUCUGACCAGUGCGCCGGUCGAAACAAAAGCGUUAAGUGGACCGCCUGGGGAGUACGGUCGCAAGGCUAUAACUCAAACGAAUUGACGGGCGCUCACACAAGCGGUGGAGCAUGUUGCUUAAUUCGAUGCAACGCGAAGAACCUUAUCCUGGACUUGACAUGUUAGG